GGAAGGUUGGCAGAGUGGUAAUGCACCGGACUCGAAAUCCGGCGAGCCGCAGUAAUGUGGUGCACGGGUUCAAAUCCCGUACCUUCCUUAU
rnacentral:tRNA from 1 species